UUGGGAAUUUAUCGGCCACAAGAGAAUGUAAAUAAUGUCCUUGUGGGAAUUUAUGGUUGUUCUCAUAACAAAUAUUAAAAAUCAGCAUCCCAGUAUAAAUUUAAAUACAAAAACGGUGCACUCUAGUUCUAGUUAGACCUAUCUCCGAUAUUUAGUUUUGCUAUCCUUAAGUCGCUUCAUCUUCUAAUAAUAAAGCUCUCUCCAUUUUAGCAGGAGUAUUUAUUAUGUUCUACACAACUGUAGUCGAUUUCUCGACCUGCUGCCACUUCUUUGGCGUCAUCCUCUUGGAGAUCUUCGAUAAAAGAGUGGCCAUGUGUGUUUCGUCUUCCUGGCGUCUCUUCAUUUCUAUUGAUUUCAGAUUCUUGCACCAAGAAACACAGUGCGUUGAGUCAACAUGUUUGGAAGAUGUCAUCUUCUUCCUCCUCUUUGGGGUUGCGAGAUCUACAAACUGCAGUUUCAUAUAUGAGAAUAAUUAAUUAGCAGGGUGCAAGCGAACUACAUCUAUGCCUACAUCUAUGCCGACGACAUGUCAUUAACGUAUUUAUACGUCCAUGAUGAUCAUGUAUAUCAUAUGCUAGAUGAAAGCAAUGAUGAUGUCAUGCGAGAGAUCAAAUCAGCAGGAUCUAUUAUAGUUCCUCAUGCUUCAACUGGCAUGUGGAUUCUCCCUCCGGAUUUCUAGCCGACCAAGUCUACUCUAGUCUAGCAUGACACACCUCUAACUUUAUUCAUAGAAUAGAAGGUAUUGCAGUCAGCCUUAAUAAUCAUUAUUUGGGCAUUUGGGCCAUAUAGAUCAUAGAAAUAGCUAUUAGUACAUAGGAAGUCGUCACAUUUCACCGAGACGUGUGCAUAAGACUUGUUAAAGAUUGUUGUUCCUAAUCUUGUUGGAAUAUGCAAAAUUUAUGUAUAUCUUUACUGUUAGAAGAUAGGAGAAUGGAUACAAUAAAAGAUACAACACAUGUCAUGAACGCACGGAGGUAUGAGCAUGCAGCCUGGAGCAGAGAGAGAGAAGGGCUGCUCAUCCCGAACUGGGUAAAUGAGACAUCUCAACGCACAAAGCCUAAAACUACAUGAGUAUGCAGAAUCAGUAGGACAUCCAGCAUCUUCGAAUCAAACACCAGGGACACUACGAGCGAGCAAGACAGCGUCUUCAAAAAACAGAAUUGUUUCGAUCUGUGAGAUGCAUGGGUGGAAUAUUGUGUUAUGGCAUACAAAAUUGACGAAUUAUCCGUUCUUGGCUUGUGUCGUUUAAUGCUAUACUCCCUCCGUUCCUAAAUAUAAGACCUUUUAGAGAUUUCACUAUAAACUACAUACGGAUGUAUAUAGACAUAUUAUAGAGUAUAGAUUCAUUCAUUUUUCUUCGUAUGUAGUCUCUAAUGAAAUCUCUACAAGGUCUUAUAUUUAGGAACAGAGGGAGUAUAUGCUAGUGGGGUUUGAUAGUCCUUUUAUACGUGUACCGCAUGCAGUAUGCUCUACUAUGUACUUUCUUCGUCUCAAAAUUAUUGUCUUAGAUUUGUCUAGUUAUAAAUGUAUCGAGUCAUAUUUUACUAUGGGGACUGAUCUACGCCGGCGCGCCGGCCCAAACUUUCGGCCGGCCACGCGCGAGCCGCAGGAUCCACCAACCCCGCGUCGUUCGCACCGUUGGAUCCGCAUGCAACAUUUUUCUUCCUAUGCAGCAAAAUUUCGAUGCUAUGCAGCAAUUUUUUCAAAGGUUGCAACAAAAAACAAAAUUUGUAGCAAAAAAAUAUCUACGUGAUCGUAGCAAAAAAACAAAGCUGAUGGUACGUGGUAGCAAAAGUCAAACGUUGGUUGUAACAAAUAUUUACGUGACGUGUAUGCAACUUUUUUAGUGAACGGUUGCAGCAAAACAUGAUGCCGAUUGUAGCAAAAAUUAACGCGGUUGUAGCAAAAGUAAAAAACAUCAAUUGUAACGAAAAAUCCGACGAACAGGAGUUGCAACCAAACGUAUAUGCGGUUUUUUUACUGGAACAAAAAAAAUAAAAAAAACGAUUGCAGCAAAUAUGACGCUGGUUGCAACAUAUUUAGACGAAAAAUGUUGCAUCCAUUGACCAGCGAAGCGCGCGAGUGAAAAAAAUGUUGCAAGGGCCCGCGCGCGCGAGGGACGACCGGCGCGCGGAUGGGAAACGAUUUCCUUUUACUAUUUACAUACAUCCAUUUUUAAAUAAACCUAAGAUCAAAAUUUUGGGACUGAAAGAGUACACGACAUAGAUUCGGAGAGGGAACCAAUCACGGGCCCUGAUUAGUUAUUGGACCGAGAUCAUCUUUACCAGAGAGCCACUAUAAAGCUUGUUACAUACGUGCCUCAGCGCCUGACAAUUAUAAUACUCCCGUCCCGUCCCGUCCCGUGUGGCGUGAUCGGAAAUCAGCCAACGAUUGUCUGCGCGAAUAGGGAUAUAGGAUAGAUCGAUGGGCCGCCGGCGCCGCCAAACCCCUAGCAUCAAACCGAGCACGCCACCGAUGACGAUGCCAGUCCGGUGGUGGUCCGAUCUCCCCGACGACCUCCUCGACGUGGUCUACAGCAAGGUCGCCGGCCCGCUCAACCGCGUCCGCUUUGCCGCUGUAUGCAGGUCGUGGCGAGCCACCGCGACCACGUCGCUUCACGCCGCGCCGCCCGUCCUCCCGUGGCUCAUGUUCAACGACGCCCGACAGGACGGCGACAAGACGAUGGUGUACUGCCCCGAGGAUGGCCAGGUCUUCCGCAUGUCUCUGCCGAGCCGGGCGGUUGGCAAGCGGUUCGUCGGCGCCUAUGACGGCGGCUGGGUCGCCGCGCUUGGGCACGACAUGCAGCUCGCGGUCGUGAACCUUUUCUCCGGUGUCGAGGCGCGGCUAGCCGCCUGGAACAUGCACGGACUCUCCUUGGGCGGCGGCCGGAACGACAUCCAGAAGAUCGUGUUCUCAGAAUCCCCGGCAUCAACCGGCUGCAUCCUCGCCACCAUCACCCCCCGCUACGGCCUCGCCCUAUGUAGGAUUGGUUGUCGGUACAACAAGUGGACGGACGAAGGACCCGUACAUGAGCUCGUGGACAUCGUGUUCUGCAACGGGCAACUAUUUGGCCUCACCGUCUUCGAGCGAUUGCUCAGGUUCCAAAUAGUUGUGGAUCAUGAUGGCAAGCCGAUGGUCACCGGCCAACCCCACCAGAUCCGAACAGAUAGCUGUCCAACCAUGCAUCCCAAGAACAUCGUUGAUCUACACGGCAGGCCAGCAAUGGUGGUGAGGACCUUGUCGUCAUCAUGUGAAGCCUUUUGCGGGCCUUCCUUCAAGGUGUUUGAGCUUGUUGAUGAUGAUGAAUCGACGGCAGAGCAUGCCCACAAGUGGGAGGAGGCGACGAGUCUAGGCGACUAUGCUGUUUUCUUAGGGAAAAGGUGGUCAAAGGUUGCGUACGUGCCGGCUGUUGGGCGCGGCGGGCUGCAAAGAAACUGCAUCUACAGCACCGAUGACCUGCUUUGCUCAUCGACGAGGUUGGAAGAUCGCGGUGGCCGCAAUUUAUAUCCUACGAGCGACCGCGAUGCCAUGUCGAAGAUCAGAUCGUUUGUGGUUGCUCGUGCUCCGGGUGGUAUGUGGGUUCUCCCUCCGGAUUUCUAGACAACCAAGUGUAGUCUAGAGUGGCUACUUUGGCUCAGUACAUAUAUAAGGUAUUGAAGUCAACCUUUACCAUAAAUUGAACCAUAUGGACUAUAGAGAUCAGUUAUAGUAUAUACAAAAUCGUAGUUUAUGUAGAUGCAUACGUGCCUUAUUAAAAUAGGCAUUAUCAAUGUAUAGGAUGGUUGAAAUAUUGUGUUCUCACACGUAUAUACAAAAAUUAUGGAUCAUUCAUUCUUUUCUUAAUUUUCUCGCUUAAUGUUUUUGGCUAUGUAUCUCGACAAUACAUUUUGAUCUUCUAUGCUAAGAUCAGUUUUGGAUUCAUGGUAAUAACUUGUAUCCUGCAAUGACACGUUCCCUACCACAUAUAGAGAUUCAUAUUGAAUCCUUGUGUAAUUCAAACAAGGGCGGAUAGCAUAUAGAAACAUUUAUUGGCUUAGAAAAGCAAAUGUAAUUUUAUUAGGUCAAUCAAUAACACAUUGAGCUGUUGAGGUGGUUUUCAAAGUGAACGCUGGGGAAAAUCGGCAAACCAGAAGCAGAGGUGGAAUAAUGGAGGAUGAAAGAAAGGGCUUAAUGUGAAAUUUUAUGUGUUUGCCGAAAAAGAAUUUCGCCCCCUUUAUAUAUAACGCAAAACCAGAGACACACAUCCGAUUACAACGCGCCACCACCACACACAAUACACACACCCAAGACGUGCACUCCACCUACGAACACCGUCCCUCCUUUAAAUCCAUUUAGUCUAUCCUCGCAAAAGAAAAUCAAAUGAGUCUUUCUUGUAAUGAAAUUUGUUAGUAGUGUAGAAGAAGAUCACAGAACGAAGAAUUAGUACUAAUUAAAAAUUAGAUUCAGGUAAUGUGGUAAUCCUAUUAAUUUUGAUCAAAGUGAAAUACAUGCGUAAUAGAAUAGCACUGUUGUACUCUAGUAGCAAAGUUUUAAAUAGCUUCGCUAUAGCUUUGCUAUAGCCUUUUCAGUAGGGUGCCGUUAAAUGGUACCAUAUAUAAAUAGACGACUAUAACCCGUUAUAGCUGAUUUAGAGGCCCGCCGCUAUUUGCAUAGCCCGCUAUUUAAAACAUUGAUUAGCAGGGAUUGCAUUCGAUACGACAUGAGAACAUCAAAACACAGAACAUCAAAAAAGAGUUAAUCUUAUCUAGUUUUUCCUCCGUCUAUUUUGAAUCUGGGUUUAUGCAUGGCUUACGACUUACCUCGAAAAUAUAUUCGGAUGACCCGAUAAGGCUGCUGCAGCAAGGAAACAGGCGGCGACGGCCGGCCGUACAACGGACUUGUGGUGGCCGUCCCACAUCCCCUUUCUAGAAGCAGGUAGGCGGCGGCGGCGGCGGCGCCUCCCUGUUUCUCGCUGGUGAAGUUAUUUUUGGCUACGAUUAGUGGAACGAUGUUGACCAGGGCCUCA
rnacentral:lncRNA from 1 species